rnacentral:sRNA from 1 species
GCUGGGCGUGGUGGGGCAUGCCUGUAAUUCCAUGGGCUCAGGAGGCUGAGCCAGGAGGAUUACAAGGAGCUAAACAACUUUGCAAGACUCUGUCUCUA